CUUCUCUGGUGCUCCUUGUUUUUUAACUGACGACACUCGAGAGCGCCAAUUUUCCUAGAUUCGAUUUUGUGGUUUGGAACUGUGGUUUUGGAAUCCAGAGUAGUCGCCUCGUUCUAGACACAAUUGGAGACACAGGUUCUUUUAUCAAGGCCUUGACUGGAAUGGCAUAUUUUCAGAUAUGACCACAUUGCUUUGAGGAAAUGAGGUUGAUGUUGUAGAGCUGAUAAAACCCCCACGGAAAGGCCAGCCUACCUCUGGCUGGAGUGCAAUGGCACAAUCUCGGCUCACCACAACGUCUGCCGCCCAGGUUCAAGCGAUUCUCCUGCCUCGGCCUCCCGAGUCGCUGGGAUUACAGACUAUGGAAAUGAUGUUAGACAAAAAGCAAAUUCAAGCGAUUUUGUUAUUCGAGUUCAAAAUGGGUUGUAAAGCAGCGGAGACAACUCGCAAUGUCAAUAAUGCAUUUGACCCAGGAACUGCUAAUGAACAUACGGUGCAGUGGUGGAUCAAGAAGUUUUGCAAAGGAGACAAGAGCCUUGAAGAUAGGGAGCAUAGUGGCCAGCCAUCAGAAGUUGACAAUGACCAACUGAUAGCAAUCAUCAAAGCUGACCCUCUUACAACUACACAAGACGUUGCUAAAGAACUCAACGUUGACCAUUCUAUGGUCGUUGGCAUUUGAAGCAAAUUGGGAAGGUGAAAAAGCUCUGUGAGUGAGUGCCUCAUGAGCUGAGCAAAAAUUUAAAAAAUAAUAAUUUUUUUGAAGUGUUGUCUUCUCUUAUUCUAUGCAACAACAAUGAACUAUUUCUUGAUUGGAUUUUUGCAAUGAAAAGUGGAUUUAAAUUUUUUUUUUUUUUUUUUUCUGAGAUGGAGUCUCACUUUGUCACCCAGGUUGGAGUGCAGUGGUGGUGCAAUCUCAGCUCACUGCACCCUCUGCCUCCUGGGUUCAAGUGAUUCUCCUGCCUCAGCCUCCCAGGUAGCUGGGGUUAUAGGCAUAUGCCACAACGCCUGGCUAAUUUUUGUAUUUUUAGUAGAGAUGGGGUUUUGCCAUACUGGCCAAGCUGGUCUCGAACUCCUGCUCAGGGGGUCCACCCACCUUGGCCUCUCAAAGUGCUAGGAUUACAGGUGUGAGCCACCGUGCCCAGCCGAAAAGUGGAUUUUAUAUGACAACUGGUGACAGUCAGCUCAGUGGUUGGACCGAGAACAAGCUCCAAAGCACUUCUCAAAGUCAAACUUACACCAAACAAAGGUCAUGGUCACUGUUUGAUGGUCUGCUGCCGAUGUGAUCCACGACAGCUUUCUGAAUCCCUGCGAAACCAUCACAUCUGACAAGUAUGCUCAGCAAAUCAAAGAGAUCCACUAAAAACUGCAAAGCCUGCAGCCGGCAUUGGUCAACAAAUAGGGCUCAAUUCUUCUCCAUGACAACACCCAACCACACGUUGCACAACCAAUGCCUUCAAAAGUUGAACAAAUUGGGCUAUGAAUUUUUGCCUCAUCCAAAAUAUUCACCUGACCUCCCGCCAACUGACUAUCUCUUCUUCAAGUAUCUCAACAACUUAUUGCAGGGAAAACGCUUCCACAACUAGCAGGAUGCAGAAAAUGCUUUCCAAGAGUUUGUUGAAUCCUGAAGCACGGAUUUUUAUGCUACAGGAAGAAACAAACUUAUUUCUCAUUGGCAAAACUGUGUUGAUUGUAAUGGUUCUUUUUUUUUUUUAUGAGACGGAGUCUCGCUCUGUCUCCCAGGCUGGAGUGCGGUGGAGCGAUCUUGGCUCACUGCAAGCUCCGCCUCCCGGGUUUUACGCCAUUCUCCUGCCUCAGCCUCCCGAGUAGCUGGGACUACAGGUGUGCACCACCCAUGCCCGGCUAAUUUUUUUUUGUAUUUUUAGUAGAGAUGGGGUUUCACCGUGUUAGCCAGGAUGGUCUUCAACUCCUGACCUCGUGAUCUGCUUGCCUCGGCCUACCAAAGUGCUGGGAUUACAGG